GACGAACGCUGGCGGCGUGCUUAACACAUGCAAGUCGAACGAAGUGGCGAACGGGUGAGUAACGCGUAAUCAACCUGCCCUUCGGAGGGGGACAACAGUUGGAAACGACUGCUAAUACCUCAUACUGAAGGUGGGGAUUGCGUCUGAUUAGCUAGUUGGAGGGGUAACGGCCCACCAAGGCGAUGAUCAGUAGCCGGUCUGGGAUGAUGAACGGCCACACUGGGAAUGUGACACCGCCCAGACUCCUACGGGAGGCAGCAGUGGGGAAUCUUCCGACAUGGAGGAAAGUCUGGCGGAGCAACGCCGCGUGAGUGAUGACGGCCUUCGGGUUGUAAAGCUCUGUUAAGCGGGACGCGGUACCGGAAUAGAAAGCCACGGCUAACUACGUGCCAGCAGCCGCGGUAAUAC
rnacentral:rRNA from 1 species